GACGAACGCUGGCGGCGUGCUAAACACAUGCAAGUCGAACGGUGAAAGGGAGCUUGCUCUCUGGAUCAGUGGCGAACGGGUGAGUAACACGUGGGCAACCUGCCCCAGACUUCGGGAUAACGCUUCGAAAGAGGUGCUAAUACCGGAUACGAACUCCUUGGGCAUCCUUGGAGUUGGAAAGUUUUUCGGUCUGGGAUGGGCCCGCGGCCUAUCAGCUUGUUGGUGAGGUAACGGCUCACCAAGGCGACGACGGGUAGCCGGCCUGAGAGGGCGACCGGCCACACUGGGACUGAGACACGGCCCAGACUCCUACGGGAGGCAGCGGUGGGGAAUAUUGCGCAAUGGGCGAAAGCCUGACGCAGCAACGCCGCGUGAGGGAUGACGGCCUUCGGGUUGUAAACCUCUUUCAGCAGGGAAGAAGCGAAAGUGACGGUACCUGCAGAAGAAGCACCGGCUAACUACGUGCCAGCCGCCGCGGUAA
rnacentral:rRNA from 1 species